GAUGAAGAACGCAGCGAAAUGCGAUAAGUAGUGUGAAUUGCAGAAUUCAGUGAAUCAUCGAAUCUUUGAACGCACGUUGCGCCCCUUGGUAUUCCAUGGGGCAUGCCUGUUCGAGCGUCAUUUGUACCUUCAAGCUUUGCUUGGUGUUGGGUGUUUGUCUCGCCUUUGCGUGUAGACUCGCCUUAAAAUAAUUGGCAGCCGGCGUAUUGAUUUCGGAGCGCAGUACAUCUCGCGCUUUGCACUCAUAACGACAGCGUCCAAAAGUACAUUUUACACUCUUGACCUCGGAUCAGGUAGGGAUACCCGCUGAACUUAAGCAUAUCAAUAAACGGAGGA
rnacentral:misc_RNA from 1 species